rnacentral:rRNA from 1 species
GUGGCGAACGGGUGAGUAACACGUGAGCAAUCUGCCCCUGACUCUGGGAUAAGCGCUGGAAACGGCGUCUAAUACCGGAUACGAGCUGCGAAGGCAUCUUCAGCAGCUGGAAAGAAUUUCGGUCAGGGAUGAGCUCGCGGCCUAUCAGCUUGUUGGUGAGGUAACGGCUCACCAAGGCGUCGACGGGUAGCCGGCCUGAGAGGGUGACCGGCCACACUGGGACUGAGACACGGCCCAGACUCCUACGGGAGGCAGCAGUGGGGAAUAUUGCACAAUGGGCGAAAGCCUGAUGCAGCAACGCCGCGUGAGGGACGACGGCCUUCGGGUUGUAAACCUCUUUUAGCAGGAAAGAAGCGAAAGUGACGGUACCUGCAGAAAAAGCGCCGGCUAACUACGUGCCAGCAGCCGCGGUAAUACGUAGGGCGCAAGCGUUAUCCGGAAUUAUUGGGCGUAAAGAGCUCGUAGGCGGUCUGUCGCGUCUGCUGUGAAAACCCGAGGCUCAACCUCGGGCCUGCAGUGGGUACGGGCAGACUAGAGUGCGGUAGGGGAGAUUGGAAUUCCUGGUGUAGCGGUGGAAUGCGCAGAUAUCAGGAGGAACACCGAUGGCGAAGGCAGAUCUCUGGGCCGUAACUGACGCUGAGGAGCGAAAGGGUGGGGAGCGAACAGGAUUAGAUACCCUGGUAGUCCAC